CAGCUGAUUAGAUUUCUCUCGCUCGGCCAGGUGCGGACUUGAACGGCUCAUGGGGCUCAGCAAAGGCAGCACAAUCGUUUCAAAGACAUCGAUGUGUUCGAGUGGUCUGCUCAACAUAAUGGAUGCAGAAAUACACUGUAGUAUUACAUAGGGGCUCAUAAGAAAUGUAGGAAUUUCGUUUAAGAAUAAGCUUAUUUUCUGUUUAAAUGAAGGAUUCUCGUAAAGCCAGCCCUUGUUCGUUUUAGGAUGAUAGACAUACAUACUCACAUAUGUAUGUAUGUACACAUAAAUCACAUAAAUGUAAUUCUUAACGUGUUCCGAUUUUGGAUUUGAACAUUUGAUAGAACCUUGCUAUUGGCAUACAUUUUCCGCUCCACUUUCGAAAAGAGCUCAAAUACUUGUGAUCGUGUGUUGGAGCCGCAGACGCUCGUGGUUGUGGGCUAUUUAUGAUACAGUCAACGCUAAGUUCAAUAGCAUGCAAAUCAUUGCCCCCCGUAUAGUGUUGUGUUGUGUCGCAUAUCGAGAACGGCGCGCAGUUAUAGUUAUUCGUGUGCUAUUCGGUAUAUGUAAAUAUAAAAACCUUAUGGGAAAGCAUAGAGGCAAGAUGAUGCGCAUGAUACACAAUGAGCGACACAAAGAGAUAUCGCUGCACCAUAUGAGGACGUCCUCCAUUGCAACCGGAGAACCGGAACAAGCGACCGUACACCAUCAACGCUGCCAUACCAUACGUGAACCUUAUCAGCCCAAACGUGAGCCGCUCAUUCAGAUUUCUUACAUUCAGGAGCAGCAGUGAGCGUUUACAGAUCACCGACACACCGACACACCGACAACGACAGGACCAUAGUUCAUCAGACUCUACUCAAAGAGGAGAAGGUCAACAAAAAGGUGGCCAUAGCGUAGUCCGAGCAAGGGGAAAGCCACGGCAUCCAUUUCGAUGUCUGAUCCAGGUGGUCUUACCCAAUCUCGCUGUUUGUUCCCCCGUCUAGGUCCAGGAACCAGAGUCGAAUCCAAAGUCCCUCAGCCGAUCACCGGAUUUGAUUAAGACGCAAAUUCGUUAUUUAAAAAUGGUUUAUUUAAAUAUUUGUCUGUUUGGUUUGUUUCUUUUAUUUUGUUUCGCCCACCUCUGAUGUGCGACAUCAUACAUCAUACCUUUUCUUUUCUUUUCUUUUCCCGUCUCGUCACGAGUCGUCACGUCUCGUCUCGUCUCGUCUCGCCUCAUGAAUCAAUCAAUCGGCGUCCUACCAUUCCUACUUCUCCUAGUGCGCUUGGUUUAACUACCAGCCUGGUACAGAUGUCUAUAUACGAUGCUAUGUGUGGGUGUUUGUGUAUGUAUGUAUGUAUCUAUAUAAAUGUGUAUCAUGUCCAUAAAUCAGUUGGAUAAUAUAAUAAUGAAAUAAGUAUAACAAAAGCAGAGAAAGAAAUAUAUGUACAUAUAUGUAUGUAUGUACGUACUUAUGUAUAUCGUAUGUAUGAGUAAGAAAGUAAUACAUAUGUAUGUAUCUGUCUGAUCUGGAUUUUCUACAUGCAUGAAUGUGAAUUUUUUGUUCUUGGAAACCAUUUUGCAAAAUCAAUGAAGAUGUUUCGUACAAAGUAUCAAAAACGGUUCAAUCCGAUUACAGCAUCUCUUUAUGAUGAUUUUCGUGUCUUUUUCUUGUUUUGUUUUGUUCUGUUUUGUUUUAUUGUGAAGAGCGGGAGGAGUAGUAUUGUUGUAUUUGGUUGAUUCAGGGUGUAGGCAGGUAUCUUACAUGUCUAUAAAAAAUCAUGCGCUAAGUCUUGUUCAAAAUUGUGUUCUUAUUUUUUUACUGGCUCUGAUUGUUGGUUGGAGUUUUUGUUAAAAAGAGUGGUUCCAUAUUGUAUUUACAAUACAUGAUCAUCGGAUUACACGGCAUCGGUAUAUCUAACACGCCUUCCGCAAUAUAUAUGUAUAAUUAUAUAUAUAUAUAUAUAUCUAUAUAUAUAUAUGUAUAUAUCUAUGUAUAUAUAAGUUGUGAAAUUGCUAUAAAUUACAAGUUGCAUAAAAAAAGUCAUUCGAUUCUUGUUUGGAGAAGUACACAGAGACGUGGAGGAUUAUCUGUGGGAGUCGGUUGGGGUUCGAGUGCAAAAUGGAGGCCCCAAAAGCUACGCAACGGCAUUCAGUCUCUCUCUCUCUCACUGCUGUUCGCUUCCAUGCAGACCGCCAGCAGACUGCCUGCAGACUCGCUGAGGCAGCGAGAGAUUCUUACAGUUGCCCAGCAGUAUUAGGAGGCGACGCUCUAAAAUGUGUCGUCCUGUCCUGUCACGGAGGAUUCUUGCCUCCUUUCCUGCUUAUUCACGCUGCGAGAGCUUAUUACAUUUACUUUUGCAGCUCUCGUUGCGGGGCAGUAGUGUGUGGUGUGUGGUGUGCGAUGUGAGUGUGUUGGUGUGUUGGUGUGAUAGGACGAUGGCGAGGGCUGUUUGAAAAGUCUGUCUUAACGCUUUACUCUUGAAAUUAUCAUAUUUCGCUUGUAGUUUGGUUUCUCUUUAUCUUUGUGUUUCGUUUGUGUUUUUUUCUUCUUUUUCUUUCGCUUGGUAAAUGGAUAUAGCAACAAUCUUGUAUUCUCUCUCGCUCAUAUAUUUCGGUUUUUUUUUUCUCGUUUUAAUUGUUUUGUAUUUGCGUUUGCUUUAGUUUGUAUUUUAGAUAGUAUUGUGUUCUAGCUGUGUGUCGUGUGCAUUUGGUUUUCUGAUUUCAGUUUUAUUCGGUAAUAUAUGUAAGUAUCUUUUCGCCUAUUUAACUUAUUUGUUUUCUCUUCUCUUCCUUUUAUUUUGUUUUGCAUUUGCUUAAGUCCAUGGUUUUUCUUUUACUGCUGUUUUUCUUUCUCUUUGUUUUUCGGGUGUUUGGUUCUCGUAGAAUUCGUACAAAAAAAAA
rnacentral:sRNA from 1 species